CGCGUAGGCGGACACUUAAGUCAGGGGUGAAAUCCCGGGGCUCAACCUCGGAACUGCCUUUGAUACUGGGUGUCUUGAGUGUGAGAGAGGUGUGUGGAACUCCGAGUGUAGAGGUGAAAUUCGUAGAUAUUCGGAAGAACACCAGUGGCGAAGGCGACACACUGGCUCAUUACUGACGCUGAGGCGCGAAAGUGUGGGGAGCAAACA
rnacentral:rRNA from 1 species